rnacentral:lncRNA from 10 species
CUUUUGGAAGGGCAUUUGCAACAUACCAUAUUGCUAGGAAUGUCGGUUUAAUUGAAAAAGAAUACACAGUUCUCUAACCUGAGGCCCCAGGAUGAAAUGUGGUUACCCUCCUUGCCAACAGCCCUGGCAUCUCUAUUAGUACUUUUCAGCCUCUGUCUUCCUAGAAUUUGCUUGAAUGUAGCUUUAAACUGACUUAAAAUCCC